UACAGAGGGUGCAAGCGUUGUUCGGAAUUACUGGGCGUAAAGCGUGCGUAGGUUGUAUUGAGAGUCACGGGUGAAAUCCCCAAGCUUAACUUGGGAACUGCCUGUGAGACCUCAGUACUGGAGUGUGAGAGAGGAUAGUGGAAUUCCUGGUGUAGCGGUGAAAUGCGUAGAGAUCAGGAGGAACACCGGUGGCGAAGGCGGCUAUCUGGCUCAUAACUGACACUGAGGCACGAAAGCGUGGGUAGCAAACAGG
rnacentral:rRNA from 1 species